GAUGGUUCUGUACAAGGUGUGAGCACGUGCCAAAAGAAAUAUUAUAUAUCUAGCGUAACUGCAACGAGAAAUGAAGCUGCUUUGCGAUGCAAGUCGAUGAAAAUGGCACUCUUGGCAGUCACUUCUAUCGGAGAGUUGGACUGUCUUUUCAGCGUAAAAGAGGGUACAUACUGGACUAGUGGAUCGAAUGAGGAUGAAAAUUGCAACACGCAGAAAAAGUAUUCGUGGUGCUCGACAGGCUCCGAUAUUUCAACAACCCUUACAUCUUCGUCAAAGUUUUGGCUGCCAACCAACGCCAUCCCUUCCUCUUUGGAACGCUGCCUGGCGGUUGUCACCUCCCAAAAAGGGUUGGUGCAUAAGAAAUGCGACGAUGUUCUGCCCUACAUUUGCCAGUUUGAGGUCGACUGCCCUAAAACGUGCUCGAAAAAUGCUUCUUUGUUUGACACCGAUGGCAGCUUGAAACGUA